AAAAGCCGCGUUGGUCAUCCAGAACUGGUACCGAAGCUACUGUGCUCGGUGGAAGGCCAGACAGCGCUAUGCCCUCACCAUCUUCCAGUCUAUCGAAUAUGCUGACGAACAAGGCCAACUGCAGCUAUCCAAUUUCUUUUCCUUCAUGUUGGAAAACUAUACACAUAUACACGAGAAAGACCCAGAAUUAGUUGCUCGACUUCUUGGUAGCACCCUCCAGGACUGCAAGGAUAGACAGGAGUAUGCCUCAUUCAUAGACGUCCCAGACUCCUAUAAUGGUCCUCGGCUGCAAUUUCCUCUCACUUUUACUGACAUUGAUUUACUUGUUGAGGCCUUCAAGCAA